AUGAACGCUGGCGGCGUGCCUAAUCCAUGCAAGUCGAGCGAACAGACGAGGAGCUUGCUCCUUUGACGUUAGCGGCGGACGGGUGAGUAACACGUGGGUAACCUACCUAUAAGACUGGGAUAACUUCGGGAAACCGGAGCUAAUACCGGAUAAUAUUUCGAACCGCAUGGUUCGAUAGUGAAAGAUGGCUCUGCUAUCACUUAUAGAUGGACCUGCGCCGUAUUAGCUAGUUGGUAAGGUAACGGCUUACCAAGGCAACGAUACGUAGCCGACCUGAGAGGGUGAUCGGCCACACUGGAACUGAGACACGGUCCAGACUCCUACGGGAGGCAGCAGUAGGGAAUCUUCCGCAAUGGGCGAAAGCCUGACGGAGCAACGCCGCGUGAGUGAUGAAGGUCUUCGGAUCGUAAAACUCUGUUAUUAGGGAAGAACAAACGUGUAAGUAACUGUGCACGUCUUGACGGUACCUAAUCAGAAAGCCACGGCUAACUACGUG
rnacentral:rRNA from 1 species